GACGAACGCUGGCGGCGUGCUUAACACAUGCAAGUCGAACGGAAAGGCCCUGCUUUUGUGGGGUGCUCGAGUGGCGAACGGGUGAGUAACACGUGAGUAACCUGCCCUUGACUUUGGGAUAACUUCAGGAAACGGGGGCUAAUACCGGAUAGGAGCUCCUGCUGCAUGGUGGGGGUUGGAAAGUUUCGGCGGUUGGGGAUGGACUCGCGGCUUAUCAGCUUGUUGGUGGGGUAGUGGCUUACCAAGGCUUUGACGGGUAGCCGGCCUGAGAGGGUGACCGGCCACAUUGGGACUGAGAUACGGCCCAGACUCCUACGGGAGGCAGCAGUGGGGAAUAUUGCACAAUGGGCGGAAGCCUGAUGCAGCAACGCCGCGUGCGGGAUGACGGCCUUCGGGUUGUAAACCGCUUUCGCCUGUGACGAAGCGUGAGUGACGGUAAUGGGUAAAGAAGCACCGGCUAACUACGUGCCAGCAGCCGCGGUGAUACGUAGGGUGCGAGCGUUGUCCGGAUUUAUUGGGCGUAAAGGGCUCGUAGGUGGUUGAUCGCGUCGGAAGUGUAAUCUUGGGGCUUAACCCUGAGCGUGCUUUCGAUACGGGUUGACUUGAGGAAGGUAGGGGAGAAUGGAAUUCCUGGUGGAGCGGUGGAAUGCGCAGAUAUCAGGAGGAACACCAGUGGCGAAGGCGGUUCUCUGGGCCUUUCCUGACGCUGAGGAGCGAAAGCGUGGGGAGCGAACAGGCUUAGAUACCCUGGUAGUCCACGCUGUAAACGGUGGGUACUAGGUGUGGGGUCCAUUCCACGGGUUCCGUGCCGUAGCUAACGCUUUAAGUACCCCGCCUGGGGAGUACGGCCGCAAGGCUAAAACUCAAAGGAAUUGACGGGGCCCCGCACAAGCGGCGGAGCAUGCGGAUUAAUUCGAUGCAACGCGUAGAACCUUACCUGGGUUUGACAUGGAUCGGGAGCGCUCAGAGAUGGGUGUGCCUCUUUUGGGGUCGGUUCACAGGUGGUGCAUGGCUGUCGUCAGCUCGUGUCGUGAGAUGUUGGGUUAAGUCCCGCAACGAGCGCAACCCUUGUUCACUGUUGCCAGCACGUUAUGGUGGGGACUCAGUGGAGACCGCCGGGGUCAACUCGGAGGAAGGUGGGGAUGACGUCAAGUCAUCAUGCCCCUUAUGUCCAGGGCUUCACGCAUGCUACAAUGGCUGGUACAGAGAGUGGCGAGCCUGUGAGGGUGAGCGAAUCUCGGAAAGCCGGUCUCAGUUCGGAUUGGGGUCUGCAACUCGACCUCAUGAAGUCGGAGUCGCUAGUAAUCGCAGAUCAGCAACGCUGCGGUGAAUACGUUCCCGGGGCU
rnacentral:rRNA from 1 species